AAAGAAAUUAAAGUUAACAUUUCUUGUAUUAUGAUAGCCACAAAACGAGUAUAUUGAGUUACACCGGAAGCGCUAUGGAUACCGUUUGGAUUACCAUGAGAAAAAGAGAAAGAAGGAAGGUCGAGAAGCUCACGAACGUUCAAAGAAGGCGAAAAAGAUGAUUGGUCUGAAGGCUAAGCUCUACCAUAAACAGCGCCAUGCUGAGAAAAUACAGAUGAAAAAGACUAUCAAGAUGCAUGAAAAACGAAACACCAAA